GGGCCUCAGCUUCCACGUGCGGCUCCGGUCCUGGGAGGUCUUCACCUGAGGGUUUGCUCUGUGCCUGGCUGACCCGCAGUUCACACCCUGCAACCCUGAAGGUGGGAAGGGCGGGGCACAGAGUGCGCAGAUCUCUUCGCGGGGAGGACCCUGACACCCGACUCCUAACGAUCCAAAUCCCGGGGUCGCUCAGAGCCACGGAGAAAUCGGGCAGAAGCCAAAGGAAGGAAGUGGGCGGGGUCGGCUCCCCGACAGCCUCCUACCAGAGGUCGAGGCCGAAGGGAAAAACAAAUGCGCUCGGAGGAACCAGCUCCUCUCCCUGAGCCUCUGUGCCCCGUGGUCCCGGCGCCCCCACCCGACGCCCCCGCGUCUCGAUCCCAACUCUCCCAUUCUCACUUCCUCCCUGGUUAUGCUCAGAAAGCAUCUGUGCAAAGGAUGAUUAAACAAGUGAAUGGAGAAUGGGGAAAGACAGGGAAUACGCCUGCUUCCCAGGCGCCCUCCAGGUCCUGCCCCCAAACAAGUGCAUCCAGGAAUGACCCUGGUACACUGAGCACACUGGUGGUCCCGACCUACCGGGAGCCUUCCAGCUGGAAGAUCUUCACACAGCACCACCCAGACUUGGAGAUCCUGGCAAGCCUGAAGUGCUCAAGGAAUGCCUUUUGGAUCUAGCCUUGCUUGGCUCAGAAGCUGGCAGGCAGAACCAGGAGACCCCAGAACCCUGAACAGAAGCAGAAAUUCCCUGAGCCCCCAGGGAAAUGUCACCUGAGGAGGUCAGGGGCUCGGAAUCCUGAGAGCUAAAUGAAUGAAGAGCUGAAGGUGGGUACCAAGGGGUCCUGAGGAGGUGGGUCGCAGGGGCCCCAGGUCACAGGCCUGUGCUCCUGACUCCUGCCUGUACUCAGGUUUUUCUCACCUGGACCCGAGUCUUUCAAAGCAGAGCCUGUGAUAUGCCAUCUCUCUCCUGUGCUCAACAAAGACCACACGUGCUGAACAGAAGCUUGUUUGAAAGACUAACUAACCUCUGGGCCAGCAAACUUAUUUUUCUUUAAAGGGAAAUAAAAGCUGAAAAACAGGAUUUCCAGAAACAAAACACUUUCCUUCACUCAGAACGG
rnacentral:lncRNA from 1 species